GACGAACGCUGGCGGCGUGCUUAACACAUGCAAGUCGAGCGGUAAGGCCCUUUCGGGGGUACACGAGCGGCGAACGGGUGAGUAACACGUGGGCGACCUACCCUCAGCUUCGGGAUAAGCCUGGGAAACUGGGUCUAAUACCGGAUAUGACCUUCCCUCGCAUGGGGGGUUGGUGGUAAAGUUUUUUCGGCGUGGGGAUGGGCCCGCGGCCUAUCAGCUUGUUGGUGGGGUGAUGGCCUACCAAGGCGACGACGGGUAGCCGGCCUGAGAGGGCGACCGGCCACACUGGGACUGAGAUACGGCCCAGACUCCUACGGGAGGCAGCAGUGGGGAAUAUUGCGCAAUGGGCGGAAGCCUGACGCAGCGACGCCGCGUGGGGGAUGACGCCU
rnacentral:rRNA from 1 species